rnacentral:rRNA from 1 species
CCUACGGGAGGCAGCAGUAGGGAAUUUUCCGCAAUGGGCGAAAGCCUGACGGAGCAAUACCGCGUGAGGGAUGACUGCCUAUGGGUUGUAAACCUCUUUUUUCAGGGAGGAAUAAAUGACGUGUACCUGAAGAAUAAGCAUCGGCUAACUCCGUGCCAGCAGCCGCGGUAAGACGGAGGAUGCAAGUGUUAUCCGGAAUCACUGGGCGUAAAGCGUCUGUAGGUGGCUCGACAAGUCAACUGUUAAAUCUUGAAGCUCAACUUCGAAAUCGCAGUCGAAACUAUCGAACUAGAGUAUAGUAGAGGUAAAGGGAAUUUCCAGUGGAGCGGUGAAAUGCGUAGAGAUUGGAAAGAACACCGAUGGCGAAGGCACUUUACUGGGCUAUUACUGACACUCAGAGACGAAAGCUAGGGUAGCAAAUGGGAUUAGAUACCCCAGUAGUCCUAGCCGUAAACAAUGGAUACUAGGUGUUGAACAGAUCGACCUGUGCAGUACCAAAGCUAACGCGUUAAGUAUCCCGCCUGGGAAGUAUGCACGCAAGUGUGAAACUCAAAUGAAUUGACGG